rnacentral:rRNA from 1 species
UACGUAGGGGGCAAGCGUUGUCCGGAUUUAUUGGGCGUAAAGAGCGUGUAGGCGGCUUUACAGGUCCGUUGUGAAAACUCGAGGCUCAACCUCGAGACGCCGGUGGAAACCGUAAGGCUAGAGUCCGGAAGAGGAGAGUGGAAUUCCUGGUGUAGCGGUGAAAUGCGCAGAUAUCAGGAGGAACACCCGUGGCGAAAGCGGCUCUCUGGGACGGUACUGACGCUGAGACGCGAAAGCGUGGGUAGCAAACGGGG